rnacentral:lncRNA from 1 species
GUACAUACUGCACGCACACGUAUCAACAUAUAUAAUAGAUCACCCUAUCUGCUGGCCGUUGCAAAUCUAUAGACAGGAAAUAGUGUCCAUACGCAUAGAACUACCUCAAAUACACCAUCUUUUCCACCUAUACCAUAGCCACCACUGCUAUCUGCACUUUCAAUAUGCCACAAAUCAACCCCUAACUCCAACCACCGCAAAAUUAGAAAAAGAAAGAGAAAUGAAAAAAUCUAAACUUCGUUGUCAAUCGUCAUCUACAGCACUGGACCACCAACAACACCAUCAUCGUCAACUAAUAGUAACCCAACCAAUAGUGAAAACAAACUAGACAACAAAAUUAGAAAAUAAGUCGGGUUUGCUACAUGUGUACAGAUCUUAUUUUUUUAUGUGGUCGAAGUUAAUGGUGGUUGAAGUAGGCAUUGGUCAAAGUAAGGAGUUGAGAAAGAGACGUACAAAUUAUAAAUGUAUACUGGAGUAAAUAUUGAAAAAUGAAAGAACGUCUUAGACAAAAUAAUGAAAGAGAACUCUUAAGUCCUAUAUCCAUCGAAUAUUUAUGAAUGGCUAUGAAACUAGGAGGAGGGUGAUCCGCUGUUUGAAAUCAUCCUAGACAUAAUAAUUCUAUGUCAUCAAGAACGCGUCCUAACUUCAAUUAAGUCUUGUUAGUAAGAUUGGAAAAAAAAUCCUUGAAGCUUGGUUCACUCAAAAGUUCACAUACCUCAUUGUAUACCCAACCUUAGGUUGAAAACUACUCAUUUUGCCCAGUUAACGCAUAUACCAAAAUAGAUAACUAUCCUAAAAGGAAGCACAUCGAUGUAUAGCACUUCCACAGAAGAUGAAGAAGCUCUAGAACAACUGUCUCUAAGACGACUCCCCGGAUCAGAGUAAUAAGGAAAAUUCUGAGCAACUUGUUGAGAAG